UAUUUGACUCUGAUUUACUGAAUGGUCAUUAGGGGGGAAAUAUUAGCCAAUAUGAAGAAUAAAAGCUGUAAUAGGUCAUUACUUCCCAGUGACUAAAGAAAUAUUAAAUUCCAUGGAGUUUUUGGUGUCUACCGAUAGGAUAGCAUUAAAUGGAUGAUGAAUAAAUACGGGAUAUUGCUGAAGCCACUAAUAGACAGGUUACAAAUUAAAAGUGGUAUCUUGAAAGAAAGUUAAAUCUCAAGUACUUUUGGACAAAUCGUCUCAUAUGCAAAGGAAACAGGUCUCCACAUAGUUUGUUAAAAAGCCUUGUUGUAGGUGAAUAUGUACAAUGUUGAUUAUAUAAAAACCAUUCAGUGGGGCAGAAUCCAUGGAAAAGAUGCCAUAGGCCCAUGGAGCACCUAAGACAAAAUUAUAGUCUUAAUUUAUGGCUAGCAGAUUCGAGACUCCUUGGUAGUCCUGAUGGAAUUAUUAAAGAAGAAUUAUGUUGUAUUAGCGAUUAUGAUGACAUGUCUAAU
rnacentral:lncRNA from 1 species